rnacentral:rRNA from 1 species
UAGGGAAUCUUCCACAAUGGGCGAAAGCCUGAUGGAGCAACGCCGCGUGUGUGAUGAAGGGUUUCGGCUCGUAAAACACUGUUGUAAGAGAAGAAUGACAUUGAGAGUAACUGUUCAAUGUGUGACGGUAUCUUACAGAAAGGAACGGCUAAAUACGUGCCAC